AUUAAAGUACCGUUCCGGUUCGUUCCGGCUUUUACCCCAUCCCUCCUACGUAGGACUUUUUUUCUCCUAGCUAGGAGAUUUUUUUUUUUCAUUGGCACUUGGACGCUUCCUUACAAACCAGACAUAUUAAAUGGUACUGCCCUGCUACAAGAAGUCAGUACCCAGGGAAGUCAAUAAAAGCUUCCCUCACCAACAUGGCUGGUUCCCCACUUCCUGUCAAGAUGGAGGACCAUACCACCACACCCAACUCAGGACACUCCCAACCACAGGCCUCCAAUCCUGAUACACCAGGAGGAGUAAGGAGCCAGGGGCUGCAGCCAUGGAGCCAGCUCACGACACCAGCACUCACCAUCACUCCCCGGAUUGGAAAGCACACUUUCAUGCACGGGACUGUGGAUUGGGGAUUACUUGUUGUUAUUGUUGUUUUGUUUUGGCCUGCAAGACAGCCGUGUUCCCCCCCCAAUACCAUCGCUUGUAGAGGGGCGGUUCUUUUUUUUGUUUCCUUAAUAAACACAGACUUUUUGGGUGUACAGUACUGUUUGGACCUUCACUUUGCUCACCGUACCACUCACACCUGUCACAAGGAUGUAAAAUGUCUAAGUGGCAAAACCAUAGAUGAAGAGAAAAAAAUAGAAAAUAUAUUAAAUUAUGACUUUUCACAAGUUUUUACAAAGGAUGAUAUGGACAACAUGCGCCACAUAUCGACCUGUUCCUAUCCAGUUUUAAAUAACUUUGGCAGAAGUGUUAAAGGGACUAGGAGCUCUUAAAAUAAACAAAUUCACAAACUGAACACAGUAGGGAUUCAAGGAAAUAUGUGCACUUGGAUUAGGGAGUGGUUAACAUGUAGAAAACAGAAAGUACUGUAACCCCCCUGCCAACUCUUUGUUCCUACCGGCCAUGGGAACUGGGGGUUGACAGCGCAAAUUAUUCUUUCUCUCUAUUUCUGGAACUAUCGGGACUGAACUGCGUUUCCGGGGUAACCUUUUAGGCAGGAGGACGAAAACAAGUGGGAGAGCACAUGGAGAGAGAGAGAGGGAGUUUAGAGGCUGCUGAACAGUCGAGAAAAUAAAUGAACAGUAAUAAAAGUUAAAAUAAUAAUUCUCGGUUUGAGAAAUAUUACUCGAAAGCAUUCGAGUUUGGAAAGUGACACAUAUAUCUGAGGAAACGAAGGAUGUUCUAAAAGAAACAAGAAACUGUCCAAGACUAGGAAAAAAAAAAGAAAAUACUCGUGUGAGUACUAUACCUACCGCAUAUUUCAGUUGUUCAGGGAAUUUCAUUUUUGAAUAAGUAAGACUCCAGUGGAUUGCUUUGGACUGAGUUAAAAAUUAAACUUCAUUGCAACAGAGGACGAAUAUAUUUUUUUGGAUCACACACAUUGGAUUAAAUAAAACAAACUGUGUAUUGUUUUGCGACCAUGAAGGAUUGAACUAUUACUACACAAAAGGGGGAUUUAUUUUUUAAACUAAACCAACGGACAUUUUGUUUUAUUUUUCAAUUAUACUAAAGAAAUUAAACAAGACUUUCUAAGAUAUUUUAUUUUGGGGAUCCCCAGUUGAUAUUGUAAUAGAUUAAAACCGUGGUACCACUGAAUAGAUAGGUAAAAGAAAAAAGAAAAAACGUAUUUUUGUUGUUGAAUAUUGUAAUAUUAUUUUUGAAUAAGAAAUGCAUAUGAGUGUUUACAACUUUUAAAACUUUAGGUGGAGGCAUCGCGCUAUAUGUAUUUUGAGUUAUGCAAAUCAGACACUCACUUAACCUUUAUGUUAAUUUAACAGUAACACAUCAUCUUUGCAGGUGCAGCAGAACUUGCCUGUUUAUUGCAUACAGUCCUACACACCAAGGUCUCUAAUAUUAUUUUUAAAAAAUAGUGAACUGAACCCAGGUCCUAUAUCUCUCCCUUAGUAUUGUGAGGCGCAUUGAAUCGUACUGAGCGGAGAAGUGGGGUCACAGUACUGAUUAGAGGAGAAGCCUCAAAAUGGAGCGAGGUAACCAGUGGAAUAACACAGGGAUCAGUAAUAGGCCCUUUUCUCUUCCUAAUCUACAUUAAUGACUUAGAUUCUGGUAUAGCAAGCAAACUUGUUAAAUUUGCAGAUGACACAAAAAUAGGAGGAGUGGCAAACACCAUUGCAGCAGCAAAGGUCAUUCAAAAUGAUCUAGACAGCUUUCAGAACUGCGCAGACACAUGGCAAAUUACAUUUAAUAUAGAAAAGUGUAAGGUACUGCACGCAGGCAAUACAAAUGUAUAUUAUAAAUAUCAUAUGGGAGAUACUGAAAUUGAAGAAGGAACCUAUGAAAAAGAUCUAGGAGUUUAUGUUGACUCAGAAAUGUCUUCAUCUAGACAAUGUGGGGAAGCUAUAAAAAAGGCCAACAAGAUGCUGGGAUAUAUUGUGAAAAGUGUUGAAUUUAAAUCAAGGGAAGUAAUGUUAAAACUGUACAAUGCAUUAGUACUGUAAGACCACAUCUAGAAUAUUGUGUUCAGUUCUGGUCACCUUGCUAAGAAAAGGAUAUUUCUAGUUCUAAAAGAGUGCAAAGAAGAGCAACCAGAAUUAUUCCGGGUUUGAAAGGGUUUAGAAGACUAUGCGGUGAUCUGAUUCAAGCAUUCAAAAUUCUAAAAGGUAUUGACAUUGUCGACCCAGGGGACUUUGUUGACCUGAAAAAAGAAACAAGGACCAGGGGUCACAAAUGGAGAUUAGAUAAAAGGGCAUUCAGAACAGAAAAUAGGAGGCACUUUUUUACACAGAGAAUUGUGGGAGUCUGGAACCAACACCCCAAUAAUGUUGUUGAAGCUAUCACCCUGGGAUCCUUCAAGGAACUGCUUGAUGAGAUGCUGGGAUCAAUAAGCUACUAACAACCAAACGAGCAAGACUGGCUGAAUGGCCUCCUCUCGUUUGUAAACUUUCUUAUGUUCUUAUGUUCUUAUAUUAUGCUCUUGCUAAUGCUUUUGUACUUUACUCCCUGCGACUGAAGCUUUUUUUAUGUCUGUGAUCCAUAUUGCAUCAUUUUGUGUUCUAUGUUCCCACUGAUGUUUAAAUGUUAAUUAAA